rnacentral:tRNA from 1 species
GGCGAGAUGGCCGAGCGGUCUAAGGCGCCAGACUAAGGAGACCAGCUUAUAAGAUGAGCAUCCUAUCUGGUCUUUCGGGGCGUGGGUUCGAAUCCCACUCUCGUCA